rnacentral:rRNA from 1 species
UACGAAGGGGGCUAGCGUUGCGCGGAAUGACUGGGCGUAAAGGGCGCGUAGGCGGAUGGCCCAGUCAGAUGUGAAAUUCCCGGGCUUAACCUGGGGGCUGCAUUUGAUACGUGUUGUCUUGAGUUCGGAAGAGGGUCGUGGAAUUCCCAGUGUAGAGGUGAAAUUCGUAGAUAUUGGGAAGAACACCUGUGGCGAAAGCGGCGCACUGGACCACAACUGACGCUGAGGCGCGAAAGCUAGGUGAGCAAACAGG